rnacentral:rRNA from 1 species
CCUACGGGGGGCUGCAGUGGGGAAUCUUGCGCAAUGGGCGAAAGCCUGACGCAGCGACGCCGCGUGAGCGAUGAAGGCCUUCGGGUUGUAAAGCUCUGUGGGGAGAGAAGAAUAAGGGUUGGCUAACAUCCAACCUGAUGACGGUAUCUCCUUAGCAAGCACCGGCUAACUCUGUGCCAGCAGCCGCGGUAAGACAGAGGGUGCAAACGUGGGCCGGAAUCACUGGGCGGCGAGCGCGCAAGGGCGAUGUGAAAUCCCACGGCUCAACCAUGGAAGUGCAUUCGAAACUGCCAGACUAGAGUCCUGGAGAGGAAGGCGGAAUACUCGGUGUAGAGGUGAAAUUCGUAGAUAUCGAGUGGAACACCGGUGGCGAAGGCGGCCUUCUGGACAGUGACUGACGCUGAAACGCGAAAGCGUGGGGAGCAAACAGGAUUAGAUACCCCUGUAGUC